CCUACGGGCGGCUGCAGUGGGGAAUAUUGGGCAAUGGAGGCAACUCUUACCCAGCAAUGCCGCGUGAAUGAAGAAGGUCUUCGGAUUGUAAAGUUCUUUAAUUGGGGACGAAAAAAAUGACGGUACCCACGGAAUAAGCACCGGCUAACUACGUGCCAGCAGCCGCGGUAAUACGUAGGGGGCAAGCGUUGUUCGGGAUGACUGGGCGUAAAGGGUGUGUAGGCGGUGUAGCAAGUUAGAAGUGAAAUACCUAGGGCUUAACUCAGGUGCUGCUUCUAAAACUGCUAUACUUGAGUGCAGUAGAGGAAAGUGGAAUUCCUAGUGUAGUGGUGGAAUGCGUAGAUAUUAGGAGGAACAUCAGUGGCGAAGGCGACUUUCUGGACUGUAACUGACGCUGAGGCACGAAAGUGUGGGGAGCAAACAGGAUUAGAUACCCCAGUAGUC
rnacentral:rRNA from 1 species